rnacentral:rRNA from 1 species
UACGUAGGGUGCGAGCGUUGUCCGGAAUUAUUGGGCGUAAAGAGCUCGUAGGCGGUUUGUCGCGUCGACUGUGAAAACCCGAGGCUUAACCUCGGGCCUGCAGUCGAUACGGGCAGACUAGAGUUCGGUAGGGGAGACUGGAAUUCCUGGUGUAGCGGUGAAAUGCGCAGAUAUCAGGAGGAACACCGGUGGCGAAGGCGGCAUCCUGGACCGAUAUUGACGCUGAUGCGCGAAAGCCAGGGGAGCAAACAGG